rnacentral:rRNA from 1 species
CGCUCCCUCUGGCGGCAGGCCUAACACAUGCAAGUCGAACGAACUCUUCGGAGUUAGUGGCGGACGGGUGAGUAACACGUGGGAACGUGCCUUUUGGUUCGGAAUAACUCAGGGAAACUUGUGCUAAUACCGAAUGUGCCCUUCGGGGGAAAGAUUUAUCGCCAUUAGAGCGGCCCGCGUCUGAUUAGCUAGUUGGUGAGGUAACGGCUCACCAAGGCGACGAUCAGUAGCUGGUCUGAGAGGAUGACCAGCCACACUGGGACUGAGACACGGCCCAGACUCCUACGGGAGGCAGCAGUGGGGAAUCUUGCGCAAUGGGCGAAAGCCUGACGCAGCCAUGCCGCGUGAAUGAUGAAGGUCUUAGGAUUGUAAAAUUCUUUCACCGGGGACGAUAAUGACGGUACCCGGAGAAGAAGCCCCGGCUAACUUCGUG